rnacentral:lncRNA from 1 species
GAGAUUUCAAAGUUAGAUCUAGGGAAAUUUGGUUGAUUUUGAAAAAAAAUUCCGAUUAAGUGUUAGGUCAAGUCGAGAAGAAUUUCUGGGUAAAAUUUGGAGAGAUUCCGUCACCGGCCGCUUUCUUUGAUCAAAGACAGAAAAAGUGGUGGACAGUGGCGAUCCGAUGGCCUGAAUCUAGGCAAAGUUGAAUCCUAGAUAAAGAGAG